rfam:Rhizoclosmatium globosum strain JEL800 BCR33scaffold_97, whole genome shotgun sequence.
GGCCGUUUAGUCUAGUGGUCAUGACGUCUCCUUUACACGGAGAAGGUCGCGGGUUCGAGCCCCGCAAUAGCCU